GUCGAACGGCAGCACAGGAGAGCUUGCUCUCUGGGUGGCGAGUGGCGGACGGGUGAGGAAUACAUCGGAAUCUACUCUGUCGUGGGGGAUAACGUAGGGAAACUUACGCUAAUACCGCAUACGACCUACGGGUGAAAGCAGGGGACCUUCGGGCCUUGCGCGAUUGAAUGAGCCGAUGUCGGAUUAGCUAGUUGGCGGGGUAAAGGCCCACCAAGGCGACGAUCCGUAGCUGGUCUGAGAGGAUGAUCAGCCACACUGGAACUGAGACACGGUCCAGACUCCUACGGGAGGCAGCAGUGGGGAAUAUUGGACAAUGGGCGCAAGCCUGAUCCAGCCAUACCGCGUGGGUGAAGAAGGCCUUCGGGUUGUAAAGCCCUUUUGUUGGGAAAGAAAUCCAUCUGGCUAAUACCCGGGUGGGAUGACGGUACCCAAAGAAUAAGCACCGGCUAACUUCGUGCCAGCAGCCGCGGUAAUACGAAGGGUGCAAGCGUUACUCGGAAUUACUGGGCGUAAAGCGUGCGUAGGUGGUCGUUUAAGUCCGUUGUGAAAGCCCUGGGCUCACCUGGGAACUGCAGUGGAUACUGGGCCGACUAGAAUGUGGUAGAGGGUAGCGGAAUCCCUGGUGUAGCAGUGAAAUGCGUAGAGAUCAAGAGGACAUCCAUGGCGGAGGCAGCUACCUAGACCACAUUGACCUGAGGCCCCAAGCGUUGGGAGCAAACAAGUUAAAUUCCCUG
rnacentral:rRNA from 1 species